rnacentral:rRNA from 1 species
GUAGGUGGCAAGCGUUGUCCGGAAUUAUUGGGCGUAAAGCGCGCGCAGGCGGUUCUUUAAGUCUGAUGUGAAAGCCCACGGCUCAACCGUGGAGGGUCAUUGGAAACUGGAGAACUUGAGUACAGAAGAGGAAAGCGGAAUUCCACGUGUAGCGGUGAAAUGCGUAGAGAUGUGGAGGAACAUCAGUGGCGAAGGCGGCUUUCUGGUCUGUAACUGACGCUGAGGCGCGAAAGCGUGGGGGAGCAAACAGGAUUAGAUACCCUGGUAGUCCACGCCGUAAACGAUGAGUGCUAAGUGUUAGGGGGUUUCCGCCCCUUAGUGCUGCAGCUAACGCAUUAAGCACUCCGCCUGGGAGUACGGCCGCAAGGCUG